GCAUGCUCUCCAGCUAAGUCAACACUCCAGGGAAGCUGGAGCGACCAAGAAAGGUUAGAGGGAGGCUGCCUCUUGGGGUGGGGCUGGUGAAAAACGAUGGCAAGGCAGCGCAGGCUAUGAGCCAAAUCCUGCGGUGAGGAUCUGCAGGGGAAGGCGCCCAGGGACUGGGGCUCACCCGCUCCAGGGCACUAGGCAAUGAAGCAGUGAAUCCAACUAUCAACCAAGCACCCACAGGGAGAACCUACUGGGUGCCAGAGGCUCUACCGAUUAGGACCAGAAGCUUAGAGUGGGAGGGCCCUUGUGGAUAAACUGUGUCGUUGCAAUAUUUUGAUGAUGAAGACCUAGAAAAACAGCCUCUAUCUUGGGGCUGGUUCAUGCUGAGAGGGAGUAACCAGCCACUGGGUGCAACUUCGCAUCAGAGAACAACCCACUCCUCAGGAAGCACUCUUCCGGCCAGCUGGGCUCAACUCUCCGUAACAGGCGCCAACAUGGAAGAUGCCACAGUGAGAGGCUUUAAAAUGUAGUCCAGGAGAGGGGCCUAAAGUGACCUCUAUGCAUGUCUUGCUGUAAGGAUAGAUGUCAGGUUCUUCCUGAGAGCCUCUCACCUCGGAGAAGCAGAGGGAACAGAGGAGAGAGGCCAGCAGCCAGACCUAUACAGCCUGCACGGGUGAGGUCUACGUGGACCUGUCCUGGUGUCUCCAAGUCUUCCCUUUUCAGUGCUUCGUCUUAGUAUUUCAGAUGCAGAGACAAAUCAGAAGGAAACCCGGCCCUCAAGGAGCGCGUGGUCUGGUGAGGCGCGGAAAGAAGCCGGAGAAACUGAGCCCAGAGAAGAUGAAGAGGACUGAGUCUCUCUCUCCUUUUAACUUUGUAUUGACUGUCAUUCUGCAAAAUGACACUGGGACAUGUUGAUCCCCCUUAGUCAAAUAACUCCGUUUCUGAAAAUCCCCUCUAAGGAAACAAUCUGAAGUACAGGAAAAGCUUUGGAUACAAAGAUGUUCAUUACAGCAUCAUUCCAACAAAAAGUGCCAGAAGAUGGGGCAGGCCAAGUAAUUCCCCUUGAUGGGAAACAGGCUGCCACAUAGCCACUAAAAAUUAUAGUUCAGCCCAGCUUUUAAUAAAUGGGAAAACUCUGUGAUGAUAUUGGAGGGGAGGAAAAGAUACAACUUUCUAUAUGAGCCCAACUAUAUGAGGAAAUCAACAACAUGAAACCAAGACUGAAAAUUUUAAAAAUGGUUUCUUGUGUGCUUUGGUUUGUCUCUUGCAUAUUUUUAAGUAGUUAUUAAAGGAGAGUGCCCUCAAAUGGACUUUCAGGUUGGAAAAAAUAUUUAAAUUAUAUUUGUAAGUGAUAUUGUGGAGCCAGUUUACUGGGAAGGGAAAGGCAGUUCAUAGCAACCUGGGCAGCUGAAGUUGCUUCUCAUAAUUAACACAAAGGCCACUGUCAGAGCCAUCCUUUCCCCCAAUGAUCCCAUAGGACCCCUGCUAGGCACCAAGUACUCAUUGGGAUGUAUUCAUUCAUUCAUUCAAGAAA